AUUGAACGCUGGCGGCAGGCCUAACACAUGCAAGUCGAACGAGUGGCGGACGGGUGAGUAAUGUCUGGGAAACUGCCUGAUGGAGGGGGAUAACCACUGGAAACGGUAGCUAAUACCGCAUACUAUCGGAUGUGCCCAGAUGGGAUUAGCUAGUAGGGGGGGUAAAGGCUGACCUAGGCGACGAUCAAUAGCGGGUCUGAGCGGAUGACCAUCCACACUGGAACUGCGACACGGGCCAGACUCCUACGGGAGGCAGCAGGGGGGCAUAUUGCACAAUUGGCGCAAGCCUGAUGCAGCCAUGCCGCGUGUAUGAAGAAGGCCUUCGGGUUGUAAAGUACUUUUAGCGGGGAGGCGUUACCCACAGAAGAAGCACCGGCUAACUCCGUGCCAGCCGCCGCGGUAAUUC
rnacentral:rRNA from 1 species